UGUGGAUGAGGAUGAAUGAAGAGUCUGCCUUGUCCGACUCACCUGCUUCUGAUGAGGACGACAAUGGGGUAAAUGGUAGAGAUGAUGAGAGCAGUGACGAUGAUGGACUACUCUAUCUUCCUGAUCUAGAGAAAGCUAGAGGAAAUAACUGAUUAACCUGGUUUGUUGGUAGGUUAGACUGACUGCACCACUAGAGAGGUAAAUGUGAUUCUUAGAUGUAGACUUCGUUAGUUCAGCACAUUGCAUGGUGAAGAUAAUAUCUUGUUCAAUGGUGUGUGUAUGCCUUUUGAGAAUUGCAUUGCCUCAUUGAAACUAUGUCCUGCAUUUUUCUAAUGAUGUCAAAUGCGAAAGCAUAAUGCUGGCCAUGACUGGGGAUCAAGAUGUCUAAUCCAUGAAGUCCUCUAUGAAUUAACUAAAAACUAGCUUGCACUGAUAUACUUGCACAAGAAGACACAAGUUUCAUACUGCCUAUUAUUUUAAA